rnacentral:rRNA from 1 species
AGAUUGAACGCUGGCGGCAGGCCUAACACAUGCAAGUCGAGCGGUAGAGAGGUGCUUGCACCUCUUGAGAGCGGCGGACGGGUGAGUAAUGCCUAGGAAUCUGCCUAGUGGUGGGGGAUAACGUUCGGAAACGGACGCUAAUACCGCAUACGUCCUACGGGAGAAAGCGGGGGACCUUCGGGCCUCGCGCCAUUAGAUGAGCCUAGGUCGGAUUAGCUAGUUGGUGAGGUAAUGGCUCACCAAGGCGACGAUCCGUAACUGGUCUGAGAGGAUGAUCAGUCACACUGGAACUGAGACACGGUCCAGACUCCUACGGGAGCAGCAGUGGGGGAAUAUUGGACAAGUGGGACGAAAGCCUGAUCCAGCCAUCGCC